rnacentral:rRNA from 1 species
AUUGAACGCUGGCGGCAGGCCUAACACAUGCAAGUCGAACGGUAACAGGAAGAAGCUUGCUUCUUUGCUGACGAGUGGCGGACGGGUGAGUAAUGUCUGGGAAACUGCCUGAUGGAGGGGGAUAACUACUGGAAACGGUAGCUAAUACCGCAUAACGUCGCAAGACCAAAGAGGGGGACCUUCGGGCCUCUUGCCAUCGGAUGUGCCCAGAUGGGAUUAGCUAGUAGGUGGGGUAACGGCUCACCUAGGCGACGAUCCCUAGCUGGUCUGAGAGGAUGACCAGGCAAACUGGAACCUGGGACAGGUCCAGAAUUCCAAGGGAGGCCGGCGUGGGGAAUAUUGCACAAUGGGCGCAAGCCUGAUGCAGCCAUGCCGCGUGUAUGAAGAAGGCCUUCGGGUUGUAAAGUACUUUCAGCGGGGAGGAAGGGAGUAAAGUUAAUACCUUUGCUCAUUGACGUUACCCGCAGAAGAAGCACCGGCUAACUCCGUG